GGCGAGAUGGCCGAGCGGUCUAAGGCGCUGUGUUAAGGUGUUCAUAUGAACAUCCGCAGUCUUCGGACGUGGGUUCGAAUCCCACUCUCGUCA
rnacentral:tRNA from 2 species